rnacentral:rRNA from 1 species
AUGGCGGCCACCACCAAAAGAGAGUGCGUGCUUUGCAAGUUUGUGCAUGGACGUGGACCAUUCAUCAUUGACACCCACAUGCUCAUGCCGACAUUUGCCUUGAAUGCUUCCACAUUGCAGGUGAUGCCGAGACCGCGAGGAUGUACCCAAGUCUGCCCUUGGAAACUGCGUGAAGGGUAUUGCACUAGUUGCCGCCUCACCGGGAGCAACUUCCCACUAUAUAUCAAAAUGGAGCAUAUUUUUGUUGAGAUAUGCUUUUGGGACCAGAGGCAAGUCUUGACUGCUUGUUCACUGUUUCAGAAUGCCCCUAACUUAAAGAAGCUUGGCAUGCGGAGUUGCGUUUCGAGCACAUGGGAUCAGGAUCAGGAUCAGGCGAACAUUCAAGAGCUUACCGUGCAAUUGCAAAUGGACCAUCUCGUAACGGCCAGUAUGGAAGGUUUUGCGGGUCUGGACUAUGAAGUUGAUUUCGUCGCAAAGCUACUGAGCUGGGCACCAGCUUUGGAAGAAUUGGAGAUAGAAUGGGAGGGCGAAACAGACUGCAGCAGGGUUCUUGCGAAGCUAUUAGCUCUGCCGAGGGUAUCUCCCAGGGCCAAGGUCAUUGUUACAUUUUGA